rnacentral:rRNA from 1 species
UACGUAGGGUGCAAGCGUUUGUCCGGAAUUAUUGGGCGUAAAGGGCUCGUAGGCGGUCCAUCGCGUCGGGAGUGAAAAGCUGGGGCUCAACCCCAGUCCUGCUUUCGAUACGGGUGGACUAGAGGUAGGCAGGGGAGAACGGAUUCCUGGUGUAGCGGUGAAAUGCGCAGAUAUCAGGAGGAACACCGGUGGCGAAGGCGGGUCUCUGGGCAGUAACUGACGCUGAGGAGCGAAAGCGUGGGGAGCGAACAGG